AUCCUAGUGCAAGGGUUUUACGCGUAUCAGUGAGGAGAAAUCCGAGAUCGCGUUUUUGCUAGUUGAAAACUACCUACUUGACCGCUCCAAUUGGCCUUCGGGUCGGUUGGGAAUUUUUGAAAAAAAAGUUG
rfam:Aspergillus versicolor CBS 583.65 unplaced genomic scaffold ASPVEscaffold_1, whole genome shotgun sequence.